UGGAAGAACACCUGUUGCCACCUUGGAUGAUUAGAGACUGCCAGGCACUUCCUGAAAGACUUCUCUGAUAUCCAACUUUUAAUUGCUUUGAACUUUUUAGCCUUGUUCCUAUCCCUCCUUUUUCAGUUGACUGGCCACACAAGUUUGUUGCCCUGUUCUGGAUCUCUCCAUUAUGUAGUCAUUCAUAUUUCUUCCAACCUGAAUAAUCACAAUCUAGUUAAAUUUUGCUUCAUGCAGAACUUCUUUAUUUCUGUCCAAUGCCACUGUGAGACACCUUGCUACAGGAUUAUGCAGAUGCUGUAAAUUUACACAGGUGCAAAAAGGAUUGAGCAAAGUGAGAAAAAAUAUGUCCAGUGCUACUAGUUACAAAUACAUGACACCAGGAAGUCCCUGAGCUACAAAUAACAGUGACCCAUUGCUAAACCUGGCCUAGACUCUGCAUCUUGACAUAUUUUUACAAUACUUUAGUUUUACAGCCCUCAGUAGUUUUGUACCAUCAAGGAAUGUUUAUAAACUACUUUUCAUCCUCUUCACCAGAUGAUGCAUGUAUACAUUGCUUGCUAGUCCAGUUUUAUGCUGGACCAAUUGAAAAAUUUGAUCUUCUAGGAAAGUAAGUUUUCCUCUUUCUUCUGGAUGUUUUCAGUAUACAAGAGCAUCACACAAUAAAUUCAUUGUUCUAUGGCCUAAUUGACAUAAUUGACAUUUUUUUUGAUUGACAUAAUUUUUAUGAUUGACAUAAUUCAAAAUACUGCAAAUAUACACAUAUAUACAUAUUUUUUCUUUCAUAUACAAAUAUGAAAGAUGUGUGCUGAAAUACUUACCUUCCAUGUCUUUGCCACCAAGGCUGGAUAAGAUGACACAGAAAACAGAUUUAUCAUUUCAGAUUUUUUUUUUUCAUGUGAGUUUUUAUAAGUCAGAUGGGCAACAAAUACCUCCCACAGAGAUGAUCUGGCACUAUUUCAGCAUCUCUGCACUCUCUGCAAUGAGAUCACAGCAAUGGAGCUGCAGGAGAGCCAGGCAAGUUCCCCAGGCAACCACAGAACCUACACUCACCAUUAACUCAGGCAUGACAAACACUAUUGACAUCCCGCAGGCUCCCAGCAAUGUCCUGGAAGAGGGAAGAACAAGACCCCUCUUUUUUUGGACUGCUGCUCUACAGAGCCCAGGAGGAAUGCCUCAGAGGGCCGUCAUAGGCCUGAGAUGGAGAAUGUCUCAGUCCAAGGAUAAGAAGGCAACCAAAUGGGUGCUUAAAGAUGAACCAGAUCCUCUGUGGAGGUGCAUAAAGCAUAACAGGAGAUCAGUCAAAGAAGCAACAGGAACAUCUGCUCCUCUGAAGAAGCAACAGACUUCAGUCCUGCCAGAAAGAAGUACUGGAGUUUAGCAUUAAGGUCCUUUUGAGAUGUUUCAUGAGUUUCUCCCAAGACUGGGCGACAAUAGUACAACAACAAUCAGUGGCAUAUAGCUGACACUAUUCUAUUGAAAAUCAUAGAUGAAGGACAACAUUUACUACAGUUCCCAAUGGAAGAAGAAACGGUGCUGCUUCUGAAACAUCCAUCUUAUAAAACAGCCCCCAAAGCUGCUGGUUUUGGUUUUUUUCCUCCUUACUGAAGGACUCACACAAUGUAGCUUUUUUUUCAAAAGGUUAAGUUUAUUUUUUUCUCUAUGCCAUUUAAAGCUAAAGAGUCAGGACCCAAAUGGUAUGUAAAUGUCCUAAGUGAGAUGCAGAAUUGUAGUAUGCUUAAAUUUAAAAAUAUAAUCCCAAAAUAACUUGCUCAUGAAUCACCUAGCUCUGUAAUCAUACAUAUUUUGCAGAAAACUUGUCUCACUUUAACAGUCCCCAGGCACCUGGAACUAUGUCUCUGCAGUAGCCUAAGCCCAGCUGUCUGGAAUAAGCAAGCACUAUUUCCUCCCCAGAGAGUUCAUAACAAACAGAUUAAUCCACAAGAAAUACUCAAUAAAAGAUCA